UACGAAGGGGGCUAGCGUUGCUCGGAAUCACUGGGCGUAAAGCGCACGUAGGCGGAUUGCUAAGUCAGGGGUGAAAUCCUGGAGCUCAACUCCAGAACUGCCUCCGAUACUGGCGAUCUUGGAGUCCGGGAGAGGUGAGUGGAACUCCGAGUGUAGAGGUGAAAUUCGUAGAUAUUCGGAAGAACACCAGUGGCGAAGGCGGUUCUCUGGGCCUGACCUGACGCUGAGGAGCGAAAGCGUGGGGAGCGAACAGG
rnacentral:rRNA from 1 species